CCUACGUGUGGCAGCAGUGGGGGAUAUUGCACAAUGGGGGAAACCCUGAUGCAGCGACGCCGCGUGGGCGAGGCAGUAUUUCGGUAUGUAAAGCCCUAUCAGCAGGGAAGAAGAAAUGACGGUACCUGAGUAAGAAGCACCGGCGAAAUACGUGCCAGCAGUCGCGGGAAUACGUAUGGUGCACGCGUUAUCCGGAUUUACUGGGUGUAAAGGGAGCGCACGCGGCACGUCAAGCCUGAUGGGAAAUCCCGCGGCCCAACCGCGGGACUGCAUUGGGAACUACCGGGCUGGAGUGCCGGAGAGGUAGGCGGAAUGCCUAGUGUAGCGGUGAAAUGCGUAGAUAUUAGGAGGAACACCAGUGGCGAAGGCGGCCUACUGGACGGUGACUGACGCUGAGGCUCGAAAGCGUGGGGAGCGAACAGGAUUAGAUACCCUGGUAGUC
rnacentral:rRNA from 1 species